UACGGAGGGUGCAAGCGUUAUCCGGAUUCACUGGGUUUAAAGGGUGCGUAGGAGGGUAGGUAAGUCAGUGGUGAAAUCUCCAAGCUUAACUUGGAAACUGCCGUUGAUACUAUCUGUCUUGAAUACCGUGGAGGUGAGCGGAAUAUGUCAUGUAGCGGUGAAAUGCUUAGAUAUGACAUAGAACACCAAUUGCGAAGGCAGCUCGCUACACGAAUAUUGACUCUGAGGCACGAAAGCGUGGGGAUCAAACAGG
rnacentral:rRNA from 1 species